GGGGCCGACUGGUUUUGACAGCAUGAGUAGUCGUAAGUAAGCAUGCCGGGUGUUGUAAGUAUUACCUGAUAACAAACUUUCAAACCAAUAAAUGGCGAAGAAAACUACGCCCUUGCUGCUUAAUUAAAGUAAUUUUGUAGCAUGUGUUCCGCGAACCCUUUGCUUUGCCGGGUUUGCAACUCGGAACAUCGACCGCAAAGCUGGCUGUGCUGCUUGGUAUGACAGUACAGUGAGAUUAAGUACCUAAGGUAGGAAUACGGUUUGUUACCAGCCAGUUCCUUCCCGACAAUUAAUUGGUAACUAAGCAUGUAGAAAGCUUAAUGAUUUCCUUGCCUGGACCAGGGUUCGACUCCCUGCGGCUCCACAA
rnacentral:tmRNA from 1 species